rnacentral:lncRNA from 1 species
GUGAGGGACAAAAACUCCAGAGUCUGCUUUCCAGAUCUGAACCUAUGGAGGCCUAUCAGGGUGGACUAAAGUGUCCCUGAUGAGAACAAAGAAAUACAGAUGAGCAACAAGUUGCCUGAAAUAAAAUUACCACAAAAAACUGGGUCUGGUCUCCUGACUGAGGUUCAAAAUUUAGUCCUUAAAAAUUGAUAAGGCCAUUUUGUCCCUCUCUUUGUAACUCUUGCUUAAAAUGUCCAUUUGUAUCUUAGCUACAAAGAUAUCAGAUUAAACAUCACAUUACCAAUAAAAUAUCCAAAAUUCUGAGAGCUUAAGUUCCUUCUAAGUUACUCCAGGAUCUCAAAGAGAAUUACUUUUUAGAACAAGGUCUUAGGCAUGUAUGCAAUAACUUGCCAGUUUUUACAGAAUUGGAGCCAAUUACAUCAAGUGAUGGUAGUGGGGAGAAAGCCUGAUGGAACUCUCCUGCCCCCAAAUGUUGAUUUUGAAGCAGCUUGAUAACUUUUUGAUUUUGGAUGUUGAGGAUUGAAAACCAAAUUUAUGAACUUAUGGUGUAAAAACUUACCAAGACUGCAAAUUAUGUAAGAACCGGCUUCUUCCAGAAAAAGAGAUCUACAACACCCACCCCCCGUGGAAAAAAAAGAUCUACAAUUUCUGAACUGGGAACUAAAAUAUGCUUGCAGACCCCUUGGCAUUAUUUUCAUGUAGGAACUACAUAAUCUGAGGAAACAGUCGGCUAAGAAGG